GUGAGGUCACAAUGGCUGAAGGGGAUGAGACAGAAGACGAUUGAUUUCAGAGCCAGAGAGAGUAAUCCUAUCAAAUGCAGGUGCACAGAAAUUAGGAGAUCAGAACAGCUCCUUGCAUUUCUUGCUACAUUUCCAGUAUUUUCCCAUUCCCUUGCUCAGUGCCUUGUCAGCACACCUAGAAUUGAGGGUGUGAUAAGAGAGGAGCAGAAAAGUAAGACUGAAAUAUUGUCCAAUACGACUAAGAAUUUUGCAGAAUGCAAUAAUUGUUUUAAACACAACAGCAGUUUAUGGUUAUCAAGGCACCAAGGAAUAGCACUGCCAAGAAUUUACUGAGCAGUAGGGCUUCUCUGACAGGAACUGCGCAGCAAUGUUCUCCCAGCAGCUUGACGUCAUUCUGCAUUGGUUGGAGUGAGAUUGGACAGAGCGUGGCUGAAGCUGACAGGAAAGAGAUUAUGCAGGACUGACCAAAAUUCACAACGAGAAGGGGGUUGCCUACUACAAUGGGAAUUUCUCCAGACAAGUUAAAAAAACAAAGGCUUCAACAUCAGAAGCUGCCCUAUACAUUGUGGGAUAUUGAGCAGUGUAUCUGGUCCCUAUUCACUAGAUGCCUGUAGCAGCCUCACAGUUGUGAUAAUUUUGUCUCCAAUUCUCACGGAUGACUGAGGGGUUCAAGACUUCAGUGGAGGAAGUAACAGCAGAUGUGGUGGAGAUAGCAAGAGAACUGAAUUACAAGUGGAGCCUGAAGAUGGGACUGAAUUGCUGCAAUCUAAUGGUCAAACAUGAAUGGAUGAAGAGUUGCUUCUUUUGGAUGAGCAGUGAAAGUUGCUCCUUGAGAAGGAAUCUACUCUUGGUGAAGAUGCUGUGAACAUUGUUGAAAUGACAAGAAAGGAUUUAGAGUAUUCCAUAAACUUAGUUGGUAAAUCACCAGCAGGGUUUGAGAGGAUUGACUCCAGUUUUGAAAAAAGUUCUACUGUGAGUAAAAUGCUUUCAAACAGCAUCACAUGCUACAGAGAAAUCUUUUGUAAAAGUUAUAGGUCUAAGGAGAACUUCCUUGGGAAGCAACCAAGAAUUGUCUUGAGACAAUAACAUUCCAGAAUUAGGUUUUGGGAGAGAGUGUCAAAAUCUCAUUCUAAUGGCUGAACAAUUUUAUCUGGGAAGAGAUGUGGCCAACUUUCUAGGGCUGACUUUGAUCCAGUAGAACAUGUCUUUUACAAGCAUUUACUUUACCAACUGGGAGCUCAGUACCCUCCCCUGUGAAAAACACCCAGGCAAGUCCAAGUCCCACAGAGUUGUUGCAACAGAGGGAAAAACAAGUGGGAUUCCAUUCAGCUUGGCUCCUAAAAAGAUCCUUAUUGGUGCUUGUGCCUGUACUACUAAGAGAGUUGUGGAAACCUUGGAAUGUGCCCAGAGUAGAGCAAUGGAAAUGAUUGGGAAAGAGGAUCUAUGAGAAAAGGCUCAAAGAAUUGAUAUGGGUGUAGAAAUAAAAUUGUGUGGAAUUACAGAUAAACUAUUUCAGGAGUAUGAAGUUAAACAAACAAGAGAAGAUGAAGGAGGAAAAGAAGAAGAUGGAGGAGGACAAAGUUUUCAGAAGUGCUUAUUAGAGCUAUUACAUGCCAAAUAUCUACUCUGUGGGAAAAGCAAAUUUCACAUUUUUAUCAACUCUGUAUUCACACAUCUGAUCAAG
rnacentral:lncRNA from 1 species